CACGAGAAGGCAAACACUGGUUCUCGAACGAUCACCGAAAUUAAGCAACGUCAAGUCUGGUCAGUACCUAGAUGGGUGACCGUUUGGGAAUACCUGGAG